GAUGAACGCUAGCGGCAGGCUUAACACAUGCAAGUCGAGGGGUAGAGGAAGCUUGCUUCCUUGAGACCGGCGCACGGGUGCGUAACGCGUAUACAAUCUACCUUUUACAGAGGGAUAGCCCCAGAGAAAUUUGGAUUAAUACCUCAUAGUGUUAUCGAAUCGCAUGGUUUGAUAACUAAAGUUCCAACGGUAUAAGAUGAGCAUGCGUCCCAUUAGUUAGUUGGUAAGGUAACGGCUUACCAAGACAAUGAUGGGUAGGGGUCCUGAGAGGGAGAUCCCCCACACUGGUACUGAGACACGGACCAGACUCCUACGGGAGGCAGCAGUGAGGAAUAUUGGACAAUGGGCGCAAGCCUGAUCCAGCCAUGCCGCGUGCAGGAUGACGGUCCUAUGGAUUGUAAACUGCUUUUGUACAGGAAGAAACACUACUUCGUGAAGUAGCUUGACGGUACUGUAAGAAUAAGGACUCGGCUAACUCCGUGCCAGCAGCCG
rnacentral:rRNA from 1 species